UACAGAGGUCUCAAGCGUUGUUCGGAUUCAUUGGGCGUAAAGGGGUGCGUAGCGGCGCGGUAAGUCGGGUGUGAAAUCUCGGGGCUUAACUCCGAAACUGCAUUCGAUACUGCCGUGCUUGAGGACUGGAGAGGAGACUGGAAUUUACGGUGUAGCGGUGAAAUGCGUAGAUAUCGUAAGGAAGACCAGUGGCGAAGGCGGGUCUCUGGACAGUUCCUGACGCUGAGGCACGAAGGCCAGGGGGAGCAAACGGG
rnacentral:rRNA from 1 species